CUGUUUUGGUCUCUCUUCUUCAUGCUUCGAUCUACAUCAACAAGCCCCUACCAAUUACAGUUUUAUAAAUUACCAAAAAUGGAUCAGCUGGACAGAGUUAGAAUUUUAGCUGUUAAUUGUUCCAGGAGAGUUUCAAAUGUGGAAAGGCUACUCUUCAAGGAUGCUUGGGUGUGUAGUCCAAAAUCCAGGCUCGAUGAUGUCACAAUGAUCUACAAUCACCGUCAGAGAUCUUUGAACAGAAUCUCCACCUUCAGUGUCCUGUAUCUCUCCCACCUGAGAGACAAAUAGAUAGAAUAGAAUUAAAAAGUUAUGUUCAGCUUUGACAAGGAUAUUUGAUGGAUGAAAAGAACCAUACACAAAUGAGUGCAGGCAAAUUUCAGUAGAGACUACCUAAAUUCAGCAUCUUAAAUCCAAUGUAAAACGGAAACACAUUUGUGCAUCCUUAGUGACAGUGAAAA